rnacentral:rRNA from 1 species
GAUGAACGCUGGCGGCGUGCCUAAUACAUGCAAGUCGAGCGAACGGACGAGAAGCUUGCUUCUCUGAUGUUAGCGGCGGACGGGUGAGUAACACGUGGAUAACCUACCUAUAAGACUGGGAUAACUUCGGGAAACCGUAGCUAAUACCGGAUAAUAUUUUGAACCGCAUGGUUCAAAAGUGAAAGACGGUCUUGCUGUCACUUAUAGAUGGAUCCGCGCUGCAUUAGCUAGUUGGUAAGGUAACGGCUUACCAAGGCAACGAUGCAUAGCCGACCUGAGAGGGGGAUCGGCCACACUGGAACUGAGACACGGUCCAGACUCCUACGGGAGGCAGCAGUAGGGAAUCUUCCGCAAUGGGCGAAAGCCUGACGGAGCAACGCCGCGUGAGUGAUGAAGGUCUUCGGAUCGUAAAACUCUGUUAUUAGGGAAGAACAUAUGUGUAAGUAACUGUGCACAUCUUGACGGUACCUAAUCAGAAAGCCACGGCCAACUACGUG